rnacentral:misc_RNA from 1 species
AACGCACCUUGUGCCCUUUGGUCAUCUGAGGGGCAUGCCUGUUUGAGUGUCUUGAAGCUCUCAAAUGUUUCUUUUUUGAUUGAAGAAAAAGAAAUGCAUUUGGAUGUGGGUGUCUGCAGGUCUUUACAUUGUAAAGAUGAGCUCAUCUUAAAUCUAUUAGCUGGCUUUUUUUUGAAGUCUAUCAAACUCAGUGUGAUAAUGAAUGAUCACUUCACUGAGGGACUGUUGUACAAAAGAAGUUGCUUUGAUCAAUAAGAUUUGUUGAAUUUGACCUCAAAUCAGGUAGGACUACCCGCUGAACUUAA